ACAAUUGUUUUAUCAUGGCAUAGACAUGUGAGCCACUUUCAGUUCCCCCUGACAGGUAUCGAGAUUUUAGAUGAACGGGUGACAUCGGGAUGUCUGACUCAUUAACUCUCUCGUUGGCAAGCUCACACACACGCACACGUAUACACGUCUGCACAGACACCAUAAACCCACCCUACACACACAGAUUUACCUUAUCAUUUCUUACAUGAGUUCUGACUUACUUAAGAGCAUAUUAAACUUUGCUGUUGGGUUACAAUGACCAUCCUGUGGCAGGUCACUAACAUAUAAUCGGACCCUCACGUUUCACGCGGCUUUUUCUGCUCUUCUCUUCCUCCCACCUAUCCUCUCUCUCUCACCCUCACCCAUAUCCACUUUCAGAACACACUUGCAAGCACGCCACAAAAAAACUUAUUUUGCAUCCUGCCAUGUGUGGAGAGGAAACGUCUCCUGGCGGAAUGUCCGCUAUUCAGAUGAGGUGGGCCGAGUUAAUUUUUGAAAUUAAGGGAACGCACACACGGGAAUAAUGAGAUGUGGGUUGUGCAUUUAUGAAUAUCUAUUGCGCUAGCUUCUCAGCAUACAUUAAAACGGUUGCCCGCCCCUUGUUUGGUGCAGCGCUCUUCGUGCGUACAUGAUAAAACGGAUUGCCUCCUCCUGGCUCGCCUGCAACCCUUUGAUCCCCGCCAGCAGCCCGUGAACUUUCCAACACAAACGGAUACGACCGCUGCUCUUUUUCUGCCAUGGUGUUCUGAUGUUAGACUGAGAGACAGAGAUAAGGACAAUUCUUUACUUAAGAGGCUUUACGAGAAGCACAACCUGAACUCUUGCCUUGAAGAAGGAAAAGUAUGCUAAGAUGCUACACAGCUACGACAACAAAAGAUCUGAUAUUAAAAGAGAACAGGCAGGCAGGUAGGCAGGCACACAAAUAUACAGACUGAAGGGUGGGAAUUCGAGACUCCUGUCAGCAAGAAUAAUCGACUUUUGAGCGAUGCCCUUGUGUCGGCGGAUAAAGGAGGAAAUGGAACGUGAAAGAGAAAAAUAUUUGCACAUAAAAUACACGU